UACGUAGGGUGCAAGCGUUAAUCGGAAUUACUGGGCGUAAAGCGUGCGCAGGCGGUUUUGUAAGACAGGGGUGAAAUCCCCGGGCUCAACCUGGGAACUGCCAUUGUGACUGCAAGGCUAGAGUGCGGCAGAGGGGGAUGGAAUUCCGCGUGUAGCAGUGAAAUGCGUAGAUAUGCGGAGGAACACCGAUGGCGAAGGCAAUCCCCUGGGCCUGCACUGACGCUCAUGCACGAAAGCGUGGGGAGCAAACAGG
rnacentral:rRNA from 1 species